rnacentral:lncRNA from 1 species
UUAUAUAAAUUAUAUAAGUCCUGUCUUCUUCCUAGGGUCUAAAUCAACCUCUGGUAAUGAAGGGCCUGGAGCCAGAUAUGAGCUUCUUGGAGCUUGUGGCAGUUUCUGGUGGAGGUCAGCUAUCCUUGUCAUCUACCUUGGCCCCUCUGUAGGGGAUGAGCUCAGGGCUACACUUUUCCUUCCAGGUUCUCAUGGUGUGGUCCGGGCUCCAUUUCUUUCUCUUUGAACCUCACUUCAACAUGAUUAGAGUGACCGAAGCAUUUAGAACCAUUCAGCCUUCUGAAAUGCUUACCGUCGUGAUCUAAGGGCAUGACUCUGACUCUGAGAGGGAGGUAAAUAACAAAGCCAGUGUUGUCCUGGCCAGGAAGCCGUAGAGGUAAGCCACUUUGUCUUUACAUCUAAGCACCCUGCCCUGCACCCAGUUCAGUCAGUAGUGAUGUCAAGUCUUGCCCCAGUUUAUCUCCCAGGGAUAUUAGAAUAAACACAUUUGGAAACUAAAGAUGCCAUGUAAACACAGUAAAUUUAUCCCAUUUUUGUUUAACAUCUUAAGGGCUAGAAUUUCCAGUUGUCUCUUCACACAAACUUCUUGCUGAGAGAGGGGGCGAGGCUACUUGAAUUUGAAGAUGUUGAUUUUUGCCCCAAAUAUAGCUUUUUUGAACUACAGAUUCUUACUAAUACAGGGUAAGUACACCUCAUUGAGCGGGUGACUUUUACAGCAGGAGGGCUACAGUUUCACCUGAGAAGCGACACAUGGAUUGUGUGUCCUGACACAGCAGUGAGAAGUCCUCUGUUCUGUGCAUUCUGUGACUCCACACUCAGGCACCAUCACUGACAGGUAAAAGUGCUGCUGCUUAUGGUGGCAAUGGAUAGUCACACUGUAGAAUUUUUUUUAAUGGAAGUUAAGUUUGCAAAGUAAACACCUCUUUUCAAAAAUUAGAACUUAGAUCGAAACUCAUUUAUGAAAGAAUCACAUGGCUGUGUCAACAGCUUAGAAGAAGUUCACUUUUUUUUUUUUUUUAAACUUUUCCUGUUACCCAGAUAGGCAAAAAUAAAUUCUGGAUCAUCCACUGAGGUUUCCAAAUGGUCCCCCUGAACCAGGGUUUCUAAAUAGCACUGUCAGCGUUUUGCUUCUGAUCAUUCUUUAUUGUUAGGGCUGUUCUGUGCACUGUAGCAGAAACCCUGGCCCCUCAGAAGCCAAAAUCAGCCAUGGUUAAAAUAUCACUGUUCUAAACUAAACCAAAGUGAACAAAUAUCGAACAAGAUACCUGGGACCCUGGCCUUGGUUUCCACUUUGUCACCCCUUGGUCCUUUGUUGUCCCUUUCCACACCUGUAAAAUGGGUGUAGUGCCACCUGCUUCAUUCAUUCACCCCGUAGCAUAUGUCAGGAUCAUUGAAACAGGGCCUGGCGUGCUGGAGAUGAUU